rnacentral:rRNA from 1 species
UACGUAGGGUGCGAGCGUUGUCCGGAAUUAUUGGGCGUAAAGGGCUCGUAGGCGGUUUGUCACGUCGGGAGUGAAAACUCGGGGCUUAACCCCGAGCCUGCUUCCGAUACGGGCAGACUAGAGGUAUGCAGGGGAGAACGGAAUUCCUGGUGUAGCGGUGGAAUGCGCAGAUAUCAGGAGGAACACCAGCGGCGAAGGCGCUCUGCUAGGCCGCAACUGACACUGAGGGACGAAAGCUAGGGGAGCGAAUGGG